rnacentral:lncRNA from 1 species
ACUGUCAUAAAUCUUACAUUAUUUGGAGCACAGACUUAAGGCUUUACUUUUAAAAAUGCAAGACUUUACAUAUACUGCACUACAUUUUACAUUUAUUUUACAAAACACGUGUAAAACCUAAAGCUGCUAGAAAUUCAAAGCUACAAAACUAAAGAUGUGUUCCGAAUUUGAGGUUGAUAUCUUUAAAAUUAGCUUUCAGUAAAACUUCAAUAUCGUGCAGUACCAAACCUUUCCACUAGGGUCCAGUGCUGAGCCAUUUCAGAAAAAACUCAUAGCCCUAUAUGAACUGGGCAAUCUGAACCAUACAUUUCAGUUUUUAUAAUAAUAUGGCGAUAUUUGAUUUUAAUUCAACCUCAAACAACAUAAAGAUCAUGCAGAAAACAGCCAGAUGUGUGUUAUAGUUUGCAUUGAGACAUGAUGCAUCAUAAAUGGAGAAUCUGUAUUUUUAGACAUUAUUUUAACCAUUUUUAGACAGAAAACAAGAAUGGAUAUCAUCCUUUGCAGUAUUACAUUAAACCUAACCAAAGGAUCUAUCGAGGUUUGCAUGAUGCAUUGCUUUUUCAUAAUAAAAUGUGUGUGUGUGUCUGUGUGUGUGUGUAGGUGGUGCUCCGGUUGAGGACGUGAGGGCUUUGGCCUCUUCUAACAUCACUAUGGACAUCAGCACCUUCAGAAGCCUCAGCAUACCUGUAGUGACGGGCCUGAGUGUGUCUGAUGUGCGUGCUCUCAUGGGUUCAGCCGUGGCCGAUCUGAAGGUGUUUGAGAAUGACUCUGUGGUUCAGGCCUGGAUCUCCUCACAGCCGCAGUCUCAGUUAGACACGCUGAACAUGGGUCUGCAUGGAGGCCGAGCCGACCCGAGCACAUCCGCACCCAUCACCGUCCAAAACAACAACAGCAGCACCGCUAACAGCAGCGGCACAGGCAGCGGCACGCAGUCAACGGCUCCCGGCCAAUCAGCUGCAGCGACUGUCACUGUACAGGGUAAAGCCACACCCACUCUGUCUGAUCCACUGAGAUUCAUCAUCAGACCCGUGUGUGAUCAGCCGAGCACUAAUGAGUGUGUGUGUGUGUGUGUGUUUCAGGAUCUGCAUCAGCUCUUCGUCUCGGUCCAGGCCUGUGGCUCGUUGUGUCCUGUGUGUGGCUUCUGACCGUCACAUGAUACAUGAUACAACUUCCAUAAUCAAAAAUCUAUGAAAUCAUCAUCAGAAAUCAGUUAGAUUAACACAAGUGCUCCAUUGGAUCAAUAAUGUUACAUCACAAAUGAAUCAGAGCAAUAUUAAAUAGAAUAUCAGUACAUUUAUAGUAAUAUUAGUUGAUUUUUGUGUCUCCCUUGUGUCUUUAUAGUCAUAUUUGUUCUGAAGUUAUUUUUAAUUUAAUUUGUGAUGAUUGUAUAACCUGUGAACUUAUUUAAAACAUAAGUCUAGUCUAAUGAAAAUAUUUACCUGACGAAAAUGAAGGAAAUCACAAUUUUGUUAAAUUAAUAUGAUAGAAUAGCAAAUUAUUUUGUGCCUUAGUAGAAUAUUAUUUUCACAUUCACUGUUACUGUAAAAUCAUUUUUUGUCUUCAAUAAAAUCUUCAUCUGCAUCUUAUGAUUCCUGAUAAGUGUGAGUAAAUUACCAAAAUACAUAUGCUAACUCACAGAUCUGUGUGUGUGUGUGUGUGUGUGUGUGUGUUUGUUUGCACCUACUUAACCAUAUUUUGUGGACACAAAAAGUAUAUAUAUAUCAAGUGUCAAGCCACUCUUGAACAACAGACAGCGUCAGAAGCGUCUCGCUUCAAAAAGGACUGGACUGCUGCUGAGUGGUCCAAAGUUAUGUUCUCUGAUGAAAGUAAAUUUUGCAUUUCCUUUGGAUAUCAGGGUCCCAGAGUCUGGAGGAAGAGAGGAGAGGCACACAAUCCAUGUUGCUUGAGGUCCAGUGUAAAGUUUCCACAGUCAGUGAGUGGGUUUGGGGUGCCAUGUCAUCUGCUGGUGUUGGUCCACUGUUGUUUUCUGAGGUCCAAAGUCAACACAGCCGUAUACCAGGUAAGUUUUAGAGCUUCCUGCUGCUGACCAACUUUAUGGAGAUGCAGAUUUCAUUUUCCAACAGGACUUGGCACAUGCACACAGUGCUAAAGCUACCAGUACCUGGUUUAAGGACCAUGGUAUCCCUGUCUAAUUGGCCAGCAAACUCACCUGACCUUAACCCCAUAGAAAAUCUAUGGGGUAUUGUGAAGAGGAAGAUGUGAUAUGCCAGACCCAAGAAUGCAGAAGAGCUGAAGGCCACUAUCAGAGCAACCUGGGCUCUCAUAACACCUGAGCAGUGCCACAAACUGAUCGACUCCAUGCCACGGCGCAUUGCUGCAGUAAUUCAGGCAAAAGGAGCCCCAACUAAGUAUUGAGUGCUGUACAUGCUCCUACUUUUCAUCUUCAUACUUUUAUCAGUUGGCCAAGAUUUCUAAAAAUCCUUUCUUUGUAUUGGUCUUAAGUUAUAUUCUAAUUUACUGAGGUACUGAAUUUGGGAUUUUCCUUAGUUGUCAGUUAUAAUCAUCAAAAUUAAAAGAAAUAAACAUUUGAAAUAUAUCAGUCUGUGUGUAAUGAAUGAAUAUAAUGUACAAGUUUCACUUUUUGAAUGGAAUUAGUGAAAUAAAUCAACUUUUUGAUGAUAUUCUAAUUAUAUGACCAGCACCUGUACAUGCGCUGUGUGUUUCAGAGUAUUUAUGCACAAGCAGCUCAUACUCAGGUGUUUCCAUCUUCCCAAAUUUGAAAUAAGCAAUUAUUAACUGUCUGUUGUCAACAGAAAAAAAUGGUUAAGAGCUCCCUGUGUUCCGCAAAAAUAAAAGCUUUGUAAUUUUACAGUUGUGCUGUUUAAAAAAAUACAUUAUUUUCCUUAAAUACCUUUUAAUUUUUCAAUGUUUAACAUUAGCUCUUUCCUCACCAGCGUUUUUUAAAAAAGUUGCCAGUAACUGCCAGCAUUUUUGAUGAUUUUCACUAACAUUUCAUGGCCCAGAGAAUAUAUUGUUUUAUGAAUAUCUGAACAUGCAAAAUCUGAAAAUGACACACUACCUGCUGCCAGUUGGUGGCGCUAUAACCUUCAGUCAUAACAGUCGCAUCUAUGUGAUCGACCUCAUACAGUGAACAAGCCGCUGAAGUUUCAUCAAAAUCAGACAAUGCAUGCAACAGUUAUUAGGCACUUCCUGUUUCUCAUUUCUCACCAUAAUUUCGACCCCUCGCCACAGCCCAACCGUUUCAGAUAUCAAAAAUCCCCUCGCAAUGUAGCAUCCCCAGUGUCUUGGGGCCAUGCUAACAGAGUUUGGUGGCGAUCGAUUGGAAAGCAUGAGAGGAGUAUAUCAAAUUCCAGAGCAUGUGCUUAUUACACAGCCCUGACUAACAUGCAAGUAUGUGUGAGCUACACAUCAAGUUUUCAGACAGUGUUCCAGGGGGCGCCGUAGAGUCCUAAUGACCGCAGAUUCCACCGUGAGUGCCAAUCUUCAAGAGGUCUGGAGCAUGUUAAGGGCCCCAAAGAGCCCCGGAUAGUCAAAAAUAAUAAUAAUAAUAAUCCUUAGGGGAUCAAUAGGGCCCUGCACCUUGGUGGGCCAUAAUAAUAGUAAUAAAAAUAAUAAUAAUAAUUAUCAUUUUAACUUUUACCAUAUUGAUACAUAAUCAAGAAAAAACAAUUGCAAUCAUAAUUUAGUAUAACACUAGUGGUGAAAAUCUAGUAGAUCCAGUGUUGUUGUGUCAAAAAUACUGAUUGUCUGGAUCAAUACAUGGUGACGAAGCAAAAAAAAAAGCGAUCACUUAUACAAACAGAUGCAUAUGUAAAAUAAUGCAAUUAUCAAACGUUAAACAGCAUUUAAAUCAAAUCUGCCAAACUUUACAGAAUGAAAUGUCAAAAGCAAAGGCUCUGUUCUUUGUUUGGACACAGUGCAUGUUCAGAUAUUCAUACAAAUAAAUAUUCUGGGUGCCAUUAAACUUGUGAACAUGAUCAAAAAUGCUGACGGUGGCGGGCACCUUCAAAAAAAUAAAAACUGCUGGCGGGGAAAGAGUUAAUGGCUGUUACUUCAUGACACUGGAUUGAUCAAUCAGUGAGUGUGUGUGUGUGUGUGUGUGUGUGUGUGUGUGUGUGUAGUAGAGAUGUGGAGUGAGUGAGUGAGUGCUCCAGCUCCAUGGACACAUCCGGCACACUUUACCCCACAUCUAGCACUUUGGGAGAAAUGCUUCAUUUAAUUGUAGCAUUGAUACACCAACGCAUCAGCCAAUCAUCAGCAGCUGUUUCCAUCCAACGAGUCUAAGAGGACAAACUCAUCACUUCCUGAUAAACUGGCACUGAAUAUCACUAAGAAAAGUUUUCUGUUUCUGCACAUCAACCAACCAAGUUUCCUAUUGUUUCACUUUAAGUACUAAACUAACUAGAACUAAAACUAAAGCUCUAGUUUAGUACUAGUGUGUACGAGUGUAGUACUAGUUUAGUACUAGUGUGUACGAGUGUAGUACUAGUUUAGUACUAGUGUGUACGAGUGUAGUACUAGUUUAGUACUAGUGUGUACGAGUGUAGUACUAGUUUAGUACUAGUGUGUACGAGUGUAGUACUAGUUUAGUACUAGUGUGUACGAGUGUAGUACUAGUUUAGUACUAGUGUGUACGAGUGUAGUACUAGUUUAGUACUAGUGUGUACGAGUGUAGUACUAGUUUAGUACUAGUGUGUACGAGUGUAGUACUAGUUUAGUACUAGUGUGUACGAGUGUAGUACUAGUUUAGUACUAGUGUGUACGAGUGUAGUACUAGUUUAGUACUAGUGUGUACGAGUGUAGUACUAGUGUGUACGAGUGUAGUACUAGUUUAGUACUAGUGUGUACGAGGUGUGUGUGUGUGUGUGUGUGUGUGUGUGAGAGAGAGUGUGUGUGUGUGUGUGUGUACCUGUUUGCCGGGGUUGAUCAGGUGACUGGUCCAGGUCCAGUUGCGUUUCAGAUGGCUGAAGAAGGAAGAGUCGAGUCCGCCGGCGCCCUGCCCGUCGCCAGGGGUAACGCCGUCAUCCACCACGUCACAGCUGCCCCUAGCAACCAAAAACACAACGGCACAUGAGCUCAGCCAAUCAGGCGACAGACAGUCCAGCCUGAGCCAAUCAGAGUGGCUGACUCACUGUAGCGUAUACAGAAGCCUGGAGUUGCUCUCCGUUGCCAUGACGACAUCAGACUCCUCCGUCUCCGCUGCACCUUCGCUGGGACGCGGCCGAACCACACCUGAAACACACACACACACACACACACACUACUACACACUACCCUCUGCCAAAUGUUGUGCUGCAUCCGGUUGUCGACGUGCAAGCAUCACUAAACAGCAUCAAGUGUGCAUAUCUGGAGAAAUACUGAUAACUUUACAUGUUUACUUAAUAUUUCUUUAUACAGAAUCAUAAUUUCUAUUCAUUCUCCACUGAUUUACACGAUCUGAUGAGCAUCAGAGACUCUGCCACCCGAGCCGUGAACUCUUCUGACCUCCAGAGAGCUAAACGACCCCCCACCACACACACACACACACACACUCACAACACACACACACACGACGACACUACACACACACACACACACACACACACACACACACACACACACACACACACACACACACACACACACACACAGACACACACACACACACUGGACUCCACACACACACACACACACACACAGCACUGCACAGAACUCAUGCAGCUCCAUCUCUCUUCUGAACCGAACGGAGUGAGUGUGUUAAUGCCGGCGGUGUGUUUGUACCUAGAGGCGUGUUGAGACACACACACAGCAGGUCGAACCAAGAGUUCUCCACGUCCUGCGCUCUGUUGAACACGUAGUGUCUCCUCUCGAACGGACGCAGGCUCUCGAUGGCCAUGUUAUAGUGCGGGUCACACACCGUCGUGUC